CAGAGCUCAGAGGUUCAGGGCGAUCCGAGCUUGCUACUGGGACCAGCCCACCUGGGAGCUGCGCCUGGUGGUGUCAGGGGUUUUUCCAAAAAGGCACAGCCUUUAAAAGCUCCCGUGUGGUGCUCAAAAGCCUUCCCCUUUUGCCUAAGAUGUCACACCAAGUCAGUAUGUGCUUAUCCUGCUGAGGAAGCUGUAGAAGAUAUCUGGUUACUACAGCAGCAUUGUAGGUGUUCCCUGGUCUGCUCAUGUCAAUGGAUCAAGAACCCAUUUUGUAGCACUCAGAUUUUACACACUUGACUGGACUCAGAUUUUACACAGGGUGACUACAGAGCCACGACUCUGGGGAAACCAUGCACUUAAAACCCACUACACAGACAGUGCUGUGCCACAGUUGCACUGGAUGCUGCAGUAAGCAUCUUGGAUGAGUCUGUUCAGGGCCUUUGUCCCAUUAAACCCACAGGAGCUGCUGAGAUGAACAGUGCAAGAAGGCUCAACAGAUCAAGCCGAAUUGGAAUCCCUCAUGCUGAAGUUCCACGUGACCAAGCCAUUUUGCAAAGCUCCUCCACUAGUUUAUUUUCCCAGACUCCUUCCCCAGAAACUCCUAGUUCACUCUCCAUAUGGACCUCAGGGUAACAGAUCAACACAUGAGAUUUUUCUACUAGAAACCUGGAAAUCUUCUGUUGCAUAUAAUGAUCACCAGGCGGCAACAGGAGUGUAAGGAUAAAAGCAAACACAAAGGGCUUCAUUGCCCCUCAGUUGUCCACAGACUCAUCUCCAUUACUGUACCAGUAUCAGCAAGGAGAAAGAAUGGAGGAGUGGAACAGAAGAAACAAAAUGAAGGCAGCUGGAGGAGGAAGAGGAGGAGGUGAUCAA
rnacentral:lncRNA from 1 species